GAUCCUGGCUCAGGAUGAACGCUGGCGGCGUGCUUAACACAUGCAAGUCGAACGAGAAGUGAAGACGGAAACCUUCGGGCGGAAGACUUUAUUUCGAGUGGCGGACGGGUGAGUAACGCGUGGGUAACCUGCCUCAUACAGGGGGAUAACAGUUGGAAACGACUGUUAAUACCGCAUAAGACCACAGCACCGCAUGGUGCGGGGGUAAAAACUCCGGUGGUAUGAGAUGGACCCGCGUUCGAUUAGCCAGUUGGCGGGGUAACGG
rnacentral:rRNA from 1 species